GACGAACGCUGGCGGCGUGCUUAACACAUGCAAGUCGAACGGGACGGCCCUGCCUUUUUGGGCUGCUCGGGUGGCGACCGGGUGAGUAACACUUAGGUAACCUGCCAUUGCCUGUGGGAUAACUUCAGGACACUUGGGCUCAUACCGGAUAGGAUCUACUGCUGCAUGGUGGGGGCUGGAUAGUUUCGGCGGUUGGUGGUGGAAUAGCGUCUUAUCAGCUUGUUGGUGGGGUAGUGGCUUAGCAAGGCUUGGACGAGUAGCCGGGCUGAUCGGGUGACCGGCUACAUUGGGACUGGGAUACGGCACAGACUCCUACGGGAGGCAGGGGAGCGGAAGAGUGUACAAUGGGCGGAAGCAUGAUGUAGCAACGCCGCGUGGGGGAUGACGGGAUUCGGGUUGUAUUCCGAUUUCGCCUGUGACGAAGCGUGAGUGACGGUAAUGGGUAAAGAAGCACCGGCUAACUACGUG
rnacentral:rRNA from 1 species